UACGUAGGGGGCAAGCGUUGUCCGGAUUUAUUGGGCGUAAAGAGCGUGUAGGCGGUUUGGUAGGUCCGCUGUGAAAACUCGAGGCUCAACCUCGAGACGCCGGUGGAAACCAUCAGACUAGAGUCCGGAAGAGGAGAGUGGAAUUCCUGGUGUAGCGGUGAAAUGCGCAGAUAUCAGGAGGAACACCGGUGGCGAAGGCGGGACUCUGGGCCGAUACUGACGCUGAGGAGCGAAAGCGUGGGGAGCGAACAGG
rnacentral:rRNA from 1 species